rnacentral:rRNA from 1 species
GAUGAACGCUGGCGGCGUGCUUAACACAUGCAAGUCGAACGGAAAGGCUCCUGCUUGCAGGGGUACUCGAGUGGCGAACGGGUGAGUAACACGUGGGUGAUCUGCCCUGCACUUCGGGAUAAGCCUGGGAAACUGGGUCUAAUACCGGAUAGGACGAUGGUUUGGAUGCCAUUGUGGAAAGUUUUUUCGGUGUGGGAUGAGCUCGCGGCCUAUCAGCUUGUUGGUGGGGUAAUGGCCGACCAAGGCGUCGACGGGUAGCCGGCCUGAGAGGGUGUACGGCCUCAUUGGGACUACGAUACGGCCCAGACUCCUACGGGAGGCAGCAGUGGGGAAUAUUGCACAAUGGGCGCAAGCCUGAUGCAGCGACGCCGCGUGGGGGAUGACGGCCUUCGGGUUGUAAACUCCUUUCGCUGGGGACGAAGCGCAAGUGACGGUACCUGGAGAAGAAGCACCGGCUAACUACGUG